CCGGCCCCGUAGGGUUUCAUCACUUCCCCCCCUCCCCCUCCCCCUCCUCGCACUCGACGGCGCCGCCGGAGCUUUCUUCCGCCGCAGCGCCAUGCCCAGACAAGCUCAUCGAUCUCACCCAAGCUGAUGGAGAACGGACGCAUGUCAGACCGGAUCAGGUCGCCCUCUUCUCCUCCCAGCGGCAGCGAGACGGCGGCCGAGAGACUCACCGACGACCUCCUCGUCGAGAUCCUCUCGCGCGUGCCCGCCAGGUCGCUCUGCCGCUUCAAGUGCGUCUCCAAGCACUGGCUCGGCCUCAUCAACGACCGCACCUACCGCCGGAAGCUGCCCCAGAUCCUGGCCGGCUUCUACGACGGGGGCCAAUUGGUAGAUUCAGGUGUUCCUUUCACCAAUAUCUCGGGAAGCCGCCAUCUCACAUAUCCCGCCUUCCUGCCCAGCCGCCGGAAGGUCAUGGUCGUGGACUGCUGCAACGGCCUCCUUCUCUUCUCCUCAUACGCUGGUGGCGACCAUGGCGACGAGUUAUACGUUGUGUGCAAUCCCGCCACAGAGGAAUGGGCUGAGUUGCCGCAUCCCGGUCAUUCCGGUGAUGUGUCUAGUAUAAACUUGUGUUUUGAUCCAGCCGUGUCCCCCCAUUUCCAUGUGUUUUUGUUGCCGGCUGUGGAGGUGGAGGACCAACAUGGCUACUGUCUUACCAGAGUGCAUGUCUAUUCAUCUGAAACCGGGAGUUGGGUUCAUAAGGAGAAGAGAUGGAGCGGCAAUAUCGAUGUCGGUUAUGAUCCGUCAUUUAUCUAUCUCAAUGGUUAUCUGCAUUUUUGCGCCAUUGUUGAUGAUUCUGCCCGCCAGCUAGCUGCAGUGGACAAGGAGGGGGGAGCAAGGACUGACUUUCGUGUUCCUGAUGAUCUGAAUGUUUGUUUUAUUCAGCAGUCACAGGGCUGCCUGCAUUAUGCUGGUUUUGACAGAGGUGACAAUGAUGAUGAUGUUGAUCGACUGCUAGUUUAUGUUCUUAAAGACUAUGACAGCAAAGAAUGGAUACUGAAGCAUAGCGUCGAAACUUCACAUGUGUUUGGAGGGCUUCAUGCAGUCAGCCUUUAUGAGAACUUUGAUUGGAUUGCAAUUCAUCCAGAAUGUAACUUGAUCUUCUUCACUCUGGCCUGGGAGGAUAUCACAUUCAUGUGCUAUGAUAUGGAUCGUGGACAAGUUAAAGUGAUCUGCAAUCUUGAAGAAAGCGAGCCACCAUAUUUUCCGUAUGUUCCACUAUAUGAAGAGUUACAAUCUUUGCACAAGUGACAUCUUAUUCGUGCUAUGGAGCAGCGAGCAUGGUCUACAGUUAUUUUGUAGGCACAGACGAGUACUCCAUUGAGGAACCAGCGAAGAAAAAAAGCACAUAUGUACAAAUUCGAGGUAGGCUUAUAAUUUUCUUCUUCCAAUCCAUUUAUCUUGAGAUCAUUUCCCACAAAAGGCAUACAUGAAGACAGUCGUGGGACAAAUAAUAUCUAUUUACUUUUGCCCAUAAAAUCCAUAUACAACGGCUACAAUACCUGCUGUCUGCAGUACAGUUUAUCCUGUGCCAAAGCUUGUUAGGUGAUUUCGAUUUACUGUAUAAGAUUUUUUUGUUUCUUUCCUUGAGGUCAGUGCUUAUUGCACACUUUUAUGUCAUGUCUCAAAGAAAGGUGCGGAAACAUGCAUUAUUUGGACAUGGUAUUCCUGUCAAAUGCUUCCUAUAGACUAUGCAUCAUGCCUAGAUGAUUCUUCUGUUCAGUACCAGAAGAGCACAAGUAGAUCAAGUUCUUGCAUGCUUGAACCAGCCACACCAACUUGCUUGAGUUCAGUCAAACCAUCAAGAGGUACCAAAAUGAAUCCGUGCAUGAUUAAAACUAGGAAAUAUGCCCGUACGUUGCAACGGGGGAGAAAUUGUUCUGUUUAUUGACUGCCAACAUCCCACGACAACAUUCGAAAGGUGCCACCUAAAUAUGUCCAUCAAUUGCAACGGAAGAAAAAAAACUUCACUCUCCUAUCCCAGUAAGCAUGUAAUGGUUUAAGCCUAAAACAUAAGCAAGAACCUAAAUAUAAGCUUUUGUGAUGUUUCUUGUCACAAGCGCCAACUUUAGGGAUAAAAAAAAUGGAAUUUACUAUUUCAUUUAUGAUACACAUCAAUUAUUCAGAGGGCAGGCCUGGCGCAGUGGUGAAGUCCUCCCCACUUGUGCCAAGAGGUCCUGGGUUCGAACCAGCCUCUCUGCAUUGCACUUUGCAGGGGUAAGACUAGGUUCCUAUAAUCCCUCCCCAGACCCCACCUUGUGUGGGAGCUUCUAUGCACUGGGUCUGUCCUUUAUACACAUCAAUUAUUCCUGGCAUGAAUAAGAAUUAUGUGCUUUCAGCAUGCCCAUCUUUGCAAAAAGGCUACACCUCUGCAUAACUAGUCAACAAUUAAUACUACAGAAAAGCUAAUCUUGAUUGAUCAAUGUGGGCUUCCAUGUAUAGUUGUUGCAUUCCUCCUUCACAUACCUAGCUUGAUAUGCAAAUUAGCUUAAGUGAGUAUCGGUUUUCUUCUACACGGGAAUGGAUAAAAAAAGAUUUUGACCUUGAAGACAAACAGAAAAGGUAACAUGCAUGCUAUUAGGGUAUGCAUUGCAUUGAGGAUCGAAUCCUUGCAAAAUAUCUCUCUAGCACUCUUCGAGUUAUGCAAAACACAUAUGAAGUCAUACAGAAAUAAAUCAACAGAUGAAAAAUUCAGAAUUGUAGGAAUACGAAAUUACAUCUUUCGUCUAUCGCAAAAAAACCCUCUUUCCUCCUUGUAGAACAGUAGUUUCUUGUGUAAUCAAUUUAGCUAUAGAAAAACUGAUUUCACAGGGAGCGUCUACUCUCGUCUAGGAGGAGCAGAAAAACAAACAUCAUUAUAAAGGGCUAAAUUGACUCGCUGCAGUUGUGGAUGUGCGCCUGUUGGCUUACGUGCGAGUUCUUGGGAGCAAUAAAUCGAGCCAUGUACUCUCCGCCGGAUCGAUGCAGCUUUAUAAACAUAAUAUGCCAAGUAGCGUGCGUGCGUAUUCAUCAUUAUGCUAACACAGAUCAAUCAAGCUGGCCGGCAACUUGUAUUUUGCUGCUGCUGCGCACGUGGGUUUUUGUUUACCUAGGAAAGAGUUGAUCCUACUGCUUUGUAAACUUGCCCGCCACAUAAUACUGUUUCUCGGUAACAUGCAUUUGCUUGGAGUAAUCAGCACUCGGCAAGAAUGUGAUGCACCAGAGUGAACUUGUAAUCUGCGAGGAGGAUGCUCCUGAGUCCCUGACGGCAGCGGCGCGGUUCAGAAACAGCGAUAUGAAGCCGGCGUUCUCUCGGCACGCCUUGUUGAGGCGGAAACAAAUCCUCUAGAUGUGACCCAAAAAAUCGAUGAAGGGAGAGGAGCCCGGCCGGCUGGACAUCCUGCAAGUGACGGCAAGGGAGGAGCGCGUGACGAUGGUGUUCCUGGACUCCCGGUUGCAGACACCACCCUGCAAAGGCAACCGAGGCGACAACCUGUUGCUUUGUACAAUUGUUUAGGCAGAUGAUGUCUAUAAUACGAUGGCAUGUCGACUAUAGACUGUACUAUAGACACACUCUUACUAUGGUCUGUCUAUUUAGUUGUCUAUAUAGGCCCUAAAAUUUGGAAAACUGGGAGAAAAUCAUCAUGACUUUGAAAACCAGAGCAGAACAUGCAUGAGUACUCCAAUGUCAAACAAACAAAGAUAAAAACACAGCCGGAGCAGCGAUUUGUUGAGCAGGCCUUAUAGAGCCCGUGAUGAUGGUUGUUGCUCCUCCUGCGGAUUAAACCACCGACUGCCUCUUUCCUUCCUUGCUUAAUUUCAGCCCGGAUGACUUAUUUUCUUCCUUAUUCUCUUUCCAAUCAUAUAGAGGAACGGACCAGCGGCUUAUUCUUCUUUCCUUCCUUAUUUAUCUGAACAUGACAAAUUAUUUCCUUCCUUAUUGACUCUUGAGAAGGCUCCUUGAUACCCAGAAAAUUCAAAGACGUAUUUAAGUUGGGAGGAUUGCGUGCAAGGGAGCGAGGUGGGACUAAUAUAUGAAUCAAGCUUUCCUUACAACACAUCUGGUCAGUAGUUGUUUGCCAUCAGGUCACGAGUUCAAAUCACCAGACGAGCCAAUAUUUUUGCCUCCCCCGGACUGCACUGGGCCAUCCUUUGUUGGGCUGCAGAAACAACGACGCAGGUAGAUGCACUGCACCGUGCUUCGUUGGGCUGUGGAAGAUGGGCUGAAAACGACGCUGAGAGUAGAUGUGGUGUAGGAAAAAUCUUGGACAGGCAGAAAUUUUAGUACCACCUUAUAUAGAUUCUUAAACUAUAAUAUGAGAGCGAGGUGGACGGACCAAAAACGGACGAAAUUAUGGUGGUAAGAACCGAUAGCCCUUUUAUUAGUAGGUAUAGAUAUAGAUAUAGAUUAGUAUUGAAAGGUCUUUAAUCUGCCAAUAAAUGGUUUCCUUCUUUAUACCUCCAAAAGUUGGUGCACAGCCUAAUGAAAUUACAGUUCCUACACGCAAAGAGGAAUAUUCCACUGUAUAAAUGGUUCUAGAACUAUUAGCUGUAAUGCAUUAUAAGAUACUACAACCUUAGUUUUAAACAUUUUGCGUACUAACAGAUAUGUAUUGCAAUUUUAAUUUGCGUCUCUGCAGCAAUUUGACUAUUCUUUGUCUUUUACGAUGUGGGUCCGCGGUGAGAGGUAACGCUGGCUGGCGCCUCACCACUGGCUAUUGUUUGACGGCGGCAAGGAGAAGGGCGCCAAGGGUGUGCUGCUCUGUGCACGGCCGUCAAAGUACAGCAUCGCUAUGAUGUGUGGUUUCUCUAUUUCCUCCUAUUGCAUGUUCCCAAUUUUACAAAUUGUUAAGUUGGUGCUUGAUUUCGCUUCAGAUUUUUCUGUGGCUUUCUCCAUUAGCAUGUUUCUCCUCAACGACCAUAUCAAUCUGGCUGGUGUUUGCACAUGUGAUUUUGGUUGAGGAGCACACGCUGAUCCAAUGAACAGGAGCGAAGUCGCCAACGCAUUCCGGCUAUUGAUCACCUUGAUCGGUCAAUUAUCAUCUUAAUGGUUAUCUGCAUUUCUGCGCCAUUGUUGAUGGUUCUGACCGUUGUCUAGCUGCAGUGGACAAGGAGGGGGGAGCAAGGACUAACUUUCGUGUUCCUGAUGGUCUGGAUGUUGGUUUUAUUCAGCAGUCACAGGGCUGCCUGCAUUAUGCUGGUUUUGACACAGAUGACAAUGAUGAUGUUGUUGUUCAACUGCUAGUUUAUGUUCUUCAAGACUAUGACAGCAAAGAGUGGAUACUGAAGCAUAGCGUCGAAACUUCACAUGUGUUUGGAGGGCGACACGUAGACGACUUUGGUAAGGACUUUGAUUGGAUUGCAAUUCAUCCAGAAUGUAACUUGAUCUUCUUCACUGUGGGUCGGCAUAUCACAUUCAUGUGCUACGAUAUGGAUAAUGGACAAGUCAAAGUGAUCUGCAAUCUUGAAGAAGGCAAGCCACCAUAUUUUCCAUAUGUGCCAUUAUAUGAAGAGCUACAAUCGUUGCACAGGUGAUGUUUUAUUCAUGCUAUGGGGCAGCGAGCAUGGUCUUGAAUUCGGUCCUCCUUUCACUGAUGUAUGCGUGUUAUAAAGUUUGGAGCAAUGCUGGUUCGUUCUGGGGACAAUGCUGGUUAUUCAAAAGUUUCAAUGUAGUUUCUGUUGCGUGUACUAGUGUUGUCUCUGUAUUACCAAUGGUUCUGGACAGAAGGAGAUGGUUAUACACUUCAAGUUACGAGUGUUGUUAGCUGAACAUCACAGCUA